rnacentral:tRNA from 1 species
GCCGAUGUGUCGGAACGGUAGACGAGGCAGACUCAAAAUCUGUUACGAGCAAUCGUGUGUGGGUUCAAGUCCCACCAUCGGUACCA